rnacentral:rRNA from 1 species
CCCUUAGAGUUUGAUCCUGGCUCAGAACGAACGCUGGCGGCGUGGAUAAGACAUGCAAGUCGGACGGGAUUACUUUUGGUAGCAAUACCGAAAGUAAUUUAGUGGCGAACGGGUGCGUAACACGUGGGCAAUCUACCGAGAAGUGGGGGAUAGCUCGCCGAAAGGCGAAUUAAUACCGCAUGUGAUCAGAGGCGACAUCGCUUCGAAAUCAAAGCCGGGGCAACCUGGCGCUUCUUGAGGAGCCCGCGGCCUAUCAGCUUGUUGGUGAGGUAAUGGCUCACCAAGGCAUUGACGGGUAGCUGGUCUGAGAGGACGACCAGUCACACUGGAACUGAGACACGGUCCAGACACCUACGGGUGGCAGCAGUCGAGAAUUUUUCUCAAUGGGGGAAACCCUGAAGGAGCGACGCCGCGUGGAGGAUGAAGGUCUUCGGGUUGUAAACUCCUGUCAUUUGGGAACAAGGUGCGCGCGUUAACUGCGCGCGCAUUGAUAGUACCAGAAGAGGAAGAGACGGCUAACUCUGUGCCAGCAGCCGCGGUAAUACAGAGGUCUCAAGCGUUGUUCGGAUUCAUUGGGCGUAAAGGGUGCGUAGGCGGCGCGGUAAGUCGGGUGUGAAAUUUCGAGGCUUAACUUCGAAACUGCAUUCGAUACUGCCGUGCUUGAGGACUGGAGAGGAGACUGGAAUU